CAUGCAAGUCGAACGCUUCUUUCCUCCCGAGGUGCUUGCACUCAAUUGGAAAGAGGAGUGGCGGACGGGUGAGUAACACGUGGGUAACCUACCCAUCAGAGGGGGAUAACACUUGGAAACAGGUGCUAAUACCGCAUAACAGUUUAUGCCGCAUGGCAUAAGAGUGAAAGGCGCUUUCGGGUGUCGCUGAUGGAUGGACCCGCGGUGCAUUAGCUAGUUGGUGAGGUAACGGCUCACCAAGGCCACGAUGCAUAGCCGACCUGAGAGGGUGAUCGGCCACACUGGGACUGAGACACGGCCCAGACUCCUACGGGAGGCAGCAGUAGGGAAUCUUCGGCAAUGGACGAAAGUCUGACCGAGCAACGCCGCGUGAGUGAAGAAGGUUUUCGGAUCGUAAAACUCUGUUGUUAGAGAAGAACAAGGACGUUAGUAACUGAACGUCCCCUGACGGUAUCUAACCAGAAAGCCACGGCUAACUACGUGCCAGCAGCCGCGGUAAUACGUAGGUGGCAAGCGUUGUCCGGAUUUAUUGGGCUUUAAUCAGCCCACGGCGGGAUUCUUAAGUCUUGAUGUGAAAACCCCCCUG
rnacentral:rRNA from 1 species